GAUUUCAGUCUACGGCCAUGCUAGCCCGAUCUCGUCUGAUCUUGGAAGCUAAGCAGGGUCGGGCCUGGUUAGUACUUGGAUGGGAGACCACCUAGGAAGACCAGGUACUGUAGGCA
rnacentral:rRNA from 1 species